rnacentral:rRNA from 1 species
GAGUUUGAUCCUGGCUCAGGAUGAACGCUGGCGGCGUGCCUAAUACAUGCAAGUCGAACGAGGUGCUUUUGUAGCAAUACGAGAGUAUCCUAGUGGCGAACGGGUGAGUAACGCGUUGGUGACCUACCCCAAAGUGUGGGAUAACAGUCCGAAAGGAUUGCUAAUACCGCAUGUGGUCAUGAGAUUUAGAAACUUGUGACUAAAGCGGCAAUGCGCUUUGGGAGGGACCUGCGUCCCAUCAGCUAGUUGGUGAGGUAAUGGCUCACCAAGGCGACGACGGGUAGGGGACCUGAGAGGGUGACCCCCCACAAUGGAACUGAAACACGGUCCAUACACCUACGGGUGGCAGCAGUAGGGAAUAUUGCUCAAUGGGCGAAAGCCUGAAGCAGCAACGCCGCGUGCGCGAUGAAGGUCUUCGGAUCGUAAAGCGCUUUUCUGCGAGAUGAGAAAGGACAGUAUCGUAGGAAUAAGUCUCGGCUAACUACGUGCCAGCAGCCGCGGUAACACGUAGGAGGCGAGCGUUAUCCGGAUUCACUGGGCGUAAAGCGCGUGCAGGCGGUUUGGUAAGUUGGGCGUGAAAGCUCCCGGCUCAACUGGGAGAGGUCGUUCAAUACUACCAAACUAGAGAGUAGAAGAGGAAGAUGGAAUUCCCGGUGUAGUGGUGAAAUGCGUAGAUAUCGGGAGGAACACCAGUGGCGAAGGCGAUCUUCUGGUCUAUUUCUGACGCUCAGACGCGACAGCUAGGGUAGUAAACGGGAUUAGAGACCCCGGUAAUCCUAGCCGUAAACGAUGUGAACUUG